rnacentral:rRNA from 1 species
UACAGAGGUCCCAAGCGUUGUUCGGAAUUACUGGGCGUAAAGGGCGCGUAGGCGGUUCGCUAAGUUGAAUGUGAAAACUCUGGGCUUAACCCAGAGCCUGCAUUCAAUACUGGCGGGCUAGAGUUCUGGAGGGGAUAGCGGAAUUCCUGGUGUAGCGGUGAAAUGCGUAGAUAUCAGGAGGAACACCGGUGGCGAAGGCGGCUAUCUGGACAGAGUCUGACGCUGAGGCGCGAAAGCUAGGGGAGCAAACAGG